GCAACACAAGAAUCCGUGGUGACAUGUGACUAAGGGGAGAGAAGGAGGACUUCUGUUCAGUCUCAGGAAAGAUUUUCCCACCAAUCAAAUCUGGCCAGGCCUGGGACCAGCUGCCCUGGGAGGCAAUGAGCCUCUGGUUCUCAGGAGGUCUUCAGAACACGGAAGGGAGAUACUAACAUUCCUGAUUCCCAUCAAUACUAACAUUCCCUGGUUCCCAUCGAGAAAGGGGGUCACUGCACACAAAAUCGGGAGAAGGAUGAAGCCACAAUUAGAAGCGGGGUUGCUGCUGAGGGUGCUGAGUUAGAAAGGCAGCAUGGGGUGGUAGGAACAGGCCUCUGUUGCCUGUGGCCACCUCUCCUCCAGGUUUAAGGGCUCCCAGCUCGCCCUUCAGUAAAGAAGGCUCACGUAAGUAUGGACAAAGCCCGAACCACAAGCCAGGACCAACGUUGUUCUCACGCUCAAGGAGGUCUCAGCAAGGGUAAUUACGGCUGACAGGAAAGCAGGCAAGACUCUUGUUGGGCACAGUGAAGAGCUCCUUGACCGGCAGAGUAAUAAGACACUGUGACUGACUGCGACAGGAAGCUUACCGGCUGGGCCACUUCUCCCAAGGGCACACACAGCUUUCUGGCCUGUAGGGCUCAGACGCUCAGGUCACCAGAUGCUCCAGGUUGGGGACUCGACCAGAUGGCCUUCCAGGUCUCAGGUCUGGCAUUCCUAGACUUGCUCAGGAAUCUUCUCAGCCAUGCCAGUGUCCCCAGGGUGCCAGGGAAACCAUCUGCCAUGCUACAACCGCCCCCCCCCUCCCCGCCCCAGGCUCUGGCAGCAUUUCUCCCCCAGGUUUGCAUUUUAUGUUUCAUACAGCGACCACUGCACAUCUCCCUCCCUCCGUCUUGCUAAGUGAUCCUUGGCCACCAAACCCAAUCAGCUCACUGGCUUCUCUCCAAAGUAAAAAGAGUUCUACUCCCGAGCCUCCUUCUCAAUCCAGUGAGACUAAUUCAUCAUGUCGACUGGAACGUCCCCUUUAAGGCAUGGCCAAAACUUCUUUUUUUUUUUUUUUUCUUGGAGCCCAGAUAAGCCGGGAAAAGAGAGAUAGUUCACUGUUUUUGCAAGUUUCAGAGGUGAAAGUCACUGUCAUAAAAAAAAAAAAAUUGGCAAAAAGUCUAGAAAUGAUUCACGCUGAGAAGUCUGACUGGUUGAGUCAAAUUCAUUCACAGCCUAAUAAAUCAUUUGCAAGGGGGAGACUCCGAAGGGGAGAAGCAGGGUGGGAUCCCUAGGGGACCUAUGCAUUCUUGGCAUCGCCGCUGCAACAGAGCGGCUACAGCUCUUGCUGAAAGAGGAUGGACAUGGGGGUCUUCUAGGAGAUUGCAACUGGCCACAGACUUGCAGAGAACUUCAUAACUGAAUGGAUUUUUACCCCCUCUUUUGGAAAAGAGAUCAGACUUGAUUAAUGCUGAAACAGAAGCACCAACAGUUACCGCAGAGUAAGUAGCAUUGUACUUUCUCUAAGUAGUGCAAAGUCUUUUUUGAUCUUGUCAAAUUUAGCCCACCACAGUGCCAUAAUAUUCAAUAGCAUCCUUGUGGUCUGAAAAAGUAAUAGUACCUCUCUAAGCCAUUGACUUAAUUAGCAAGUCAUUCAUUAGUGAGGAAAUACAAGAUGCCAGGAAACAAGAUACAAAGAUGAACAGUGCAGUUCUUUCCCUAAAGCACCUUCCCAUGUAGGGAGAUAUUGACAAGUAGGCACUGUAUAUGAACUGCAAUAAUUCAGGGUUGUAUAAGGUGUCAUGGGAGC